GACCUGCACGAAUGGCGUAAUGAUGGCCAGGCUGUCUCCACCCGAGACUCAGUGAAAUUGAACUCGCUGUGAAGAUGCAGUGUACCCGCGGCAAGACGGAAAGACCCCGUGAACCUUUACUAUAGCUUGACACUGAACAUUGAGCCUUGAUGUGUAGGAUAGGUGGGAGACUAUGAAAUGUGGACGCCAGUCUGCAUGGAGUCAACCUUGAAAUACCACCCUUUAACGUUUGAUGUUCUAACCUAGGCCCAUAAUCUGGGUCGGGGACCGUGUCUGGUGGGUAGUUUGACUGGGGCGGUCUCCUCCUAAAGAGUAACGGAGGAGCACGAAGGUUGGCUAAGCAUGGUCGGACAUCAUGCGGUUAGUGCAAAGGCAUAAGCCAGCUUGACUGUGAGAGUGACGGCUCGAGCAGGUACGAAAGUAGGUCUUAGUGAUCCGGUGGUUCUGAAUGGAAGGGCCAUCGCUCAACGGAUAAAAGGUACUCCGGGGAUAACAGGCUGAUACCGCCCAAGAGUUCAUAUCGACGGCGGUGUUUGGCACCUCGAUGUCGGCUCAUCACAUCCUGGGGCUGAAGUAGGUCCCAAGGGUAUGGCUGUUCGCCAUUUAAAGUGGUACGCGAGCUGGGUUUAGAACGUCGUGAGACAGUUCGGUCCCUAUCUGCCGUGGGCGUUGGAAGAUUGAGAGGGGUUGCUCCUAGUACGAGAGGACCGGAGUGAACGCACCACUGGUGUUCGGGUUGUCAUGCCAAUGGCAUUGCCCGGUAGCUAAGUGCGGAAGAGAUAACCGCUGAAAGCAUCUAAGCGGGAAACUUGCCUCAAGAUGAGUCUUCCCUGUCACCUUGAGUGACCUAAAGGAACGUUUAAGACUAAGACGUUGAUAGGCUGGGUGUGUAAGCGUAGCGAUACGUUGAGCUAACCAGUACUAAUGAACCGUGAGGCUUAACCUG
rnacentral:ncRNA from 1 species